CUCAGGACGAACGCUGGCGGCAUGCCUAAUACAUGCAAGUCGAGCGAACAGAUGAAGUGCUUGCACUUCUGACGUUAGCGGCGAACGGGUGAGUAACACGUAAGGAAUCUACCUAUAAGCGGGGGAUAACAUUCGGAAACGGGUGCUAAUACCGCAUAAUAUCUUCUUCCGCAUGGAAGAAGAUUGAAAGACGGCUCUGCUGUCACUUAUAGAUGACCUUGCGGUGCAUUAGUUAGUUGGUGGGGUAAUGGCCUACCAAGACGAUGAUGCAUAGCCGACCUGAGAGGGUGAUCGGCCACAUUGGGACUGAGACACGGCCCAAACUCCUACGGGAGGCAGCAGUAGGGAAUCUUCCGCAAUGGGCGAAAGCCUGACGGAGCAAUGCCGCGUGAGUGAAGAAGGCCUUCGGGUCGUAAAACUCUGUUAUAAGAGAAGAACAAAUUGUAGAGUAACUGCUACAGUCUUGACGGUAUCUUAUCAGAAAGCCACGGCUAACUACGUGCCAGCAGCCGCGGUAAUACGUAGGUGGCAAGCGUUGUCCGGAUUUAUUGGGCGUAAAGGGAGCGCAGGUGGUUUCUUAAGUCUGAUGUGAAAGCCCACGGCUUAACCGUGGAGGGUCAUUGGAAACUGGGAAACUUGAGUACAGAAGAGGAAUGUGGAACUCCAUGUGUAGCGGUGGAAUGCGUAGAUAUAUGGAAGAACACCAGUGGCGAAGGCGACAUUCUGGUCUGUUACUGAC
rnacentral:rRNA from 1 species